UACGUAGGGUGCAAGCGUUAAUCGGAAUUACUGGGCGUAAAGCGUGCGCAGGCGGUUAUGCAAGACAGAUGUGAAAUCCCCGGGCUCAACCUGGGAACUGCAUUUGUGACUGCAUAGCUAGAGUGCGGCAGAGGGAGAUGGAAUUCCGCGUGUAGCAGUGAAAUGCGUAGAUAUGCGGAGGAACACCGAUGGCGAAGGCAAUCUCCUGGGCCUGCACUGACGCUCAUGCACGAAAGCGUGGGGGAGCAAACAGGG
rnacentral:rRNA from 1 species